GAUAAACGCUGGCGGCGCACAUAAGACAUGCAAGUCGAACGGAAGUCGUUAUAAAAAGGAUUGAAGAUUUAUCUGAUUGAGAUUUUAUAACAAUGGCUUUAGUGGCGGACUGGUGAGUAACGCGUGAGCAACCUGCCUACUAGAGGGGAAUAACAGUGAGAAAUCAUUGCUAAUACCGCAUAUGCCAUGAACAUCACAUGAUGAAAAUGGGAAAAGAGUAAUCUGCUAGUAGAUGGGCUCGCGUCUGAUUAGCUGGUUGGUGAGGUAAUGGCUCACCAAGGCGACGAUCAGUAGCCGGACUGAGAGGUUGAACGGCCACAUUGGGACUGAGAUACGGCCCAG
rnacentral:rRNA from 1 species